CACUUUGGUUUGUUCCCUGCAAUGGCAGCUGUGACAUUCUCCACCUCCGCGACCACUUUGGCUGCCUGGCUGUUGGGUCAGGAAUGUGUUGAGAUUCACAGGAAUUCUGUGGCAGCUGACUUUGCCUAUCAAGAAAGGAAUUUUAUGGAUCAGUAUUGCUGUUGAAUUAUGAGGAUUACAAGAACAAAAGGAAAGCUUUUUCGAGAGGUCAAGGACAACGACUCUGAAAACAUGUGAAAUCUUAAAUGAAGAUAUUCGAGGAUUUUGGAUAAAUUUCUGGAUAAAGGCUGGCAUUUUAAUGGAAAUGGCAGUUUUUACAUCAGUGUCAAGUUGUUGGAGGGCUGGGGAGAAAAGAAAUCCUCCUGAUUGGUUUGCUCAGACAGAUGUUUAUGAAGAAGACGUUUUAAAGACAUCUGCAUCUCCAUGGCAUUCUGAGGAUGUACCUGUUCAUGGCUCUCCUGCCUGCUAGUUCAAAGGAGGCUGUCAAGGCAGGUAAGUACAACAUUUGGCUUACCUGCUCUUCUAUUUUUCCUCACCCUGUAGUUUAUUUUAAACAUUCCUCUGACCUUGAAAAGACUCAGGAGAUAGAUAUUAAAUGUUGCAGUCCUCAUUCUGUUAGGUUGAGUGAUCCAGUGCGUAUCCGUGCAGAUGGCUUUGAAAUGUCAUCUUUUAAAAACCUGUGUAUAAAUAUGUCUUUUAUAAGUUGGUACCUUAACUUAGGUGCUAUUUCUUCUACUUUGAAGAUUUAUGCAAAAAAUGUAAACCAGCUUUCUUCCUUUCUUAGUUCCUGUAAGUAGAAGCGUUUUAUAAAACACAUGAUACUCUUGAAAUUGCAAUUAAGUUGUUUUACUUAUAGAAGAGAUGGAAUAUUUGUCAUUAUCAUCAUUUUAUUAAAUAUAUUUUAAUCGUCUUCUCUAGUAUAGCUGGAACAUCGAAAUGCCUGUUAUGUGAGUAUCAAUUAACCUUGGCGCUACAAGUUUCAUAAGUUUCAUCCUGUGGCAGUUUUAGCUAGCAGUCUGAGGGUUGUUGGUUUAAAGUGUGAUGCUGUGCACUUAUUGACAGUAACUCUAACAUCUCCCAGGAGUUCUGGGGGAAAGCAGUUCAGACAUAGUGAUUUUAUUUAUUCCUAAAAUUCAGAUCACUCUUAAACAUGAUUAAAAUUCAGUGGAGAAUUACUGCUGUUCAGUCCUACUGACUUCAGUGUGUUUGUGUAAUGAUUUGUCCCCUUUGCGAUCACUACAUGUUAACCUAGAAACCGUAUUUACAAAUUGUGAUCCUUUGUGCUCUACAGCCUGAAUAAUCAGAUUUUAAAGAGACUUGCUGCUUAAAACUGAAUAAAUUUGAAGUAAGAAUUUGGGAACAAGUGUCUUGUUAAUAUUUUCCAUGGACUAUGUUGGUGAAUAGUUAUUAUGAACAAGGCAUAGCUAUGGUAGUCACAAAGUGUGUAGACCUCAAGAAGAGUUUUGCUGCCUGGAGUGAUUGUUAAAAUAGAUAUUUUUCCAUUUGAUUCCAAUCCAUUUGCAUGUAGGAGUGCUGCUUGGGGCCAUCUCUAAUAGCUGUAGAAUCAUUAGAAUGAUAGCUUGUGAUGGACACCUAUGCAAAGGCCCUCAAAGAGUGGGUCACAGGGAGGAUCCAGCAUCCUGAAUGUUUAAUGACAUCUCCUGAGUUUGAAAAAUCAAAUGUUAAUAUUGAGACCAUAGACUCUUCCAUCCACUACACUUUGUUCCAAACAGAAACAGUUUAGA